rnacentral:lncRNA from 1 species
AAUUAUGUAACCACUUAAUACUAAAAUAAAAAAGUGUCCAUCUAUACUAUCCCAACACAUUUUCACCUUUGAAAUCGUAAAUUUCCAUUCCCAUUAAAAAAUAAUUUGUACUGUAUAAGUAUAUUUCUUUUGAGCUUCAUUUUUUUUUAAAUACUGCAACAUGAGUUUUAAAUUAUGACACAGUACAAUACUUGUUUCAAUAUUUACAUGUAAAUAAAAUAAUCCUAAUUACUUGUAAAAGUAAGGUUAUAAAUUUAAGAAUACAGAACUCUCUUUUAAAACCAAAGUGGCAUUAGACUAAUUUUAAAAUUCCCGCUAAAAGGAAAAAGGUAAAUCUGGCAACAGUGCCGUCGUUUGCCGGACAUUUAAUCUCUCCCGGCAUGAUUUGAGUAUUCUGCUAUAAAUGCAUUGUUACCAACUUUCGCUUGCAUGUGUUUCCCCCCUUUCCUCUGAGAGGCAUACCACGCAACGAAGGUGUAGAACGUCGUUAACGACACGUAACAAUUUAUGUAUUUGUGUUUAAGUGCAAAUCCACAUUGAAUUUAAUUUUAGUUCCUUUAAGUUAUUUUAACCGUUUUUUAACUAACGUUUUCAACGAAUGUUCGGAGGUACUAUAGUAUGCGGUCUACCUCGAGAGUGCGAUCUACCUGAAGGAUUUGCACAAAAUAAUGAAAUGCGAGGAAACUCCUGUAGAAAAAAUAUUUAUUCACAAGUAAUAACCAUUUGGAGCAACAUAAUUUAUUUGAAAAGAUAAUGCGCAUACUCUGAGAAAAGAUUAUGAUGAUAUUUGCAUAAAAGUUAUGCCAAUAUUAAUUCUUAUGAUUUAUGCGUUUUAUUUACUUUGUAAUAGUUAUUCCCUAACAACACACAACAUUCCAGGAAUGUACUACCAAAGUUCUGUCAAUAUUUGAAUGUCCUGGACAUUUAGGGAACAUUCGGUGAACAUCUGAUUAAAUUAUUCCUGGAAUGUUACCAUAAGACAUUCUGUGAACAUACUACCAAUGUUCCUAUAUUUUAAGUUGCCAAAUAAUAAAUACGUGUAACAGAUAUAACAUUACUUAUAACAGAAACGUGCAAAAACGAAGAGAGGCAUUUAUAAUUAUUAUUCUUUUGCGUUCAUUUUCAAAUUCACGGCGCAUGUAUUUGUGCAUGGUGCUUAGAGAGGGCAUCACGUGACUAAAAACAACCAACGACCUCACUUCGGACUUCGGCCAUCUUGACAUGCAUCUUGGCCUUGGCCACCUUGCCGUGCGUGAUCGUUGUUUGUUUUAUUUGUGCUUUUUAAGAAUAUUUUUUUAAUUCGGAUACUUUUAUAAUAACUUUAAUAGCAUUAUUAACAUAGUGCAUAAAAUCAGUUGGAGUAGCAGAAGCAAUGUAGAUAAAAAAUCUGCAGGAAUAACGUUUCAAAGGUUAGUAUGCAAAUAUGUAAACAAAGGCAUGCCCCUAUUUCAGAAAAUAUCCAUUUAUUAUUUUAAUAAUUGCGAAUAAGCCACAAACUUGCUUAUUCCUAACUAAAAUAGUAAAUAGAGAUAAUAACAAAAAGAUUAUUUGUAAAAUUAAAAUAAUUCUUUUUGCGUUUUUGCUAAUGUAUGCGUUUACAAACAGGAUGGUAGACCACACACACACACACACACUAUAAUAGUACCAACUAAUGAAUACACAGUAUGAAUAGUAUAGUCGGUUCGCUAAACUUAGUCUCAGACACAACUAGUUAGUGAUUUUAGCAGUGGUGUCAUGGCAAAAUUAGCAGUGCGGGAACGCACUGCUAAUUUUUGUUUACAAAACCUAAAUUCUCUAUUAUUUUUUUUCUUUUCUUAACCAGUGCGGGAACGGCGUUCCCACACGAUGACACCACUGGAUUUUAGUAAAUAAUUUUGCCAAUUUGGUAAAAUUGGCAAAAAAAUAAUAACUAAAUAGUUAGUAAUUUUGGCAAAAUUGGCCAAAAACAAAAAAUUACCUACUAAAAUCACUAGCCAGUUGUGUCUAGGGAAACGACUAUACUAAUAAACAAUUUCUAAGCUGUUUUAUAAUAUUUUGUGAGUUCAUUAAUCAUAUUUUUUAUUUAAAACUAAAAUUUGUUAAUAAUGCUUAGUAAUGCAUAUAUUUUGUAUUUUUAGCUUUCCAGAAGAUCCUGCUAAGAAGGCAUGAAGUAUAGAUCAGAUUUGUUAAUAGAGCAGUAUGCUCAAAACAUUUUUUAGAAAAAGAUAUUGACAGAACUUCACUUUCAACUGUUCGUUUGAGAGACUGUGCUGUUCCAAUAGCUUAUAUCACACAGAAUCAGCUGAGAGAAGUGGUCUACAAAAAACCAGGAAGGAAAUGGAAUAUGUGGCUACGAAAGGCAAAAGAAAGGUUUACAAAGCAAAUGUGACACAUUUUUUUAUAGGAAUAUCAGUAAAUUACAUUAAAAAAAUGUAUGAAAAGAUUGCAAUAAAAAUGUUUAUAUUUA